UACGAAGGGUGCAAGCGUUAUUCGGAUUUAUUGGGUGUAAAGGGUGCGUAGACGGCAUAUUAAGUCCGCUGUUAAAUUUCCCGGCCUAACCGGGAGCCAGCGGUGGAUACUGAUGUGCUAGAGGAUGGAAGAGAGAAGUGGAAUUCCCGGAGUAGCGGUAAAAUGCGCAGAUAUCAGGAGGAACACCGGUGGCGAAGGCGGGUCUCUGGGCCGAUAUUGACGCUGAGGAGCGAAAGCGUGGGGAGCAAACAGG
rnacentral:rRNA from 1 species